rnacentral:rRNA from 1 species
UUUCCCUUCGGGGACAAAGUGACAGGUGGUGCAUGGUUGUCGUCAGCUCGUGUCGUGAGAUGUUGGGUUAAGUCCCGCAACGAGCGCAACCCUUAAUUUUAGUUGCCAGCAUUUAGUUGGGCACUCUAAAGUGACUGCCGGUGCAAGCCGGAGGAAGGUGGGGAUGACGUCAAAUCAUCAUGCCCCUUAUGACCUGGGCUACACACGUGCUACAAUGGAUGGUACAAAGGGUAGCGAAGCCGCGAGGUGGAGCCAAUCCCAUAAAACCAUUCUCAGUUCGGAUUGUAGGCUGCAACUCGCCUACAUGAAGCCGGAAUCGCUAGUAAUCGUGGAUCAGCAUGCCACGGUGAAUACGUUCCCGGGCCUUGUACACACCGCCCGUCACACCACGAGAGUUUGUAACACCCGAAGUCGGUAGGGUAACCUUUAUGGAGCCAGCCGCCGAAGGUGGGACAGAUAAUUGGGGUGAAGUCGUAACAAGGUAGCCGUAUCGGAAGGUGCGGCUGGAUCACCUCCUUUCUAAGGAA